rnacentral:rRNA from 1 species
UACGAGGGGGGCGAGCGUUGUUCGGAAUUAUUGGGCGUAAAGGGUGCGUAGGCGGUUUGAUAAGUCUUGUGUGAAAUCUCUGGGCUCAACCCAGAGUCUGCAUAGGAAACUGUCGGGCUUGAGUAUGGGAGAGGUGAGUGGAAUUUCCGGUGUAGCGGUGAAAUGCGUAGAUAUCGGAAGGAACACCUGUGGCGAAAGCGGCUACUGGACCAAUUACUGACGCUGAGUGCA